rnacentral:rRNA from 1 species
UGGGGAAUAUUGCACAAUGGAGGGAACUCUGAUGCAGCGACGCCGCGUGAGUGAUGAAGGAAUUCGUUUCGUAAAACUCUGUUCUAUGGGAAGAAAAGGACUGUACCAUAGGAGAAAGCUCCGGCUAAAUACGUGCCAGCAGCCGCGGUAAUACGUAUGGAGCGAGCGUUGUCCGGAAUUAUUGGGCGUAAAGGGUGCGCAGGCGGCUUUACAAGUUGGAUGUGAAAUAUUGUGGCUCAACCACAAACGUGCAUCCAAAACUGCAAAGCUUGAGUUAAGGAGAGGUAAGUGGAAUUCCUGGUGUAGCGGUGGAAUGCGUAGAUAUCAGGAGGAAUACCGGUGGCGAAGGCGACUUACUGGACUUAAACUGACGCUCAGGCACGAAAGCGUGGGGAGUAAACAGG